rnacentral:lncRNA from 1 species
AUGAUUUUCUUUCCGUGCCGUCAGCUGACCGAUGCGGUGGCAAACGUGGCUCAUGUCUUGCACUGCGCUGCUCGUAACAACCUGACCAUGACAGAAGCCGUCGUCUUGAAGCUGGUUCUAGAGCUGACUCAGCGUCUGAACUUGCUGAUCAAGGAGCUCUCCACAGCAAACUUCACGCAGUUGGAAUCCGAGUUUAAGCAGAUCUUCAGCGAGUCAAACUCCGCAACUCUGACCCAGGAGCACCUGACGGACCCAGCCUUCAUCCAGCUCUGGUUCAAGGUCAAGCUGCUGCCCCUCCUGCCCAACGUACAGCCAGAGCUCCUCUCCUGCCUCAGCACCAAGAACUUCUCCUGCCCCGUUUACCAAACCCUUGUGGCGGCGCUCAGUGAACGAAUGAACUUUUUGGAUGCUGAUCCGAUGUACAGCAGCAACAUCUACGAGUACUUCAUCUACACCUUCCUGCUAAAUCACAACACCUCGGGUAAGAAGAGGACACAGACAACACAUAUUAACGCACAGAUACUACAAAACCAGUUCUUAUGGCAUUUAUGUUAAUGUUUGUACAAAUGCUUCAGACCCCCAGUGUGUCUCUGCAGCUAAUAACAGCGCAGAAUGGCUGCAACUCAACUUUGGUUUCUUCUCAAGCUUUGCCUCUAUCAUCGACUUCUACACACUCAACUCUUAUUUCACUGGAGUAAGUUUGCAAAACACAGAUGUGCUCAAACAGACUUAACAGAAGCAGAAAUUUGACUAUAUAGUAAUUGUUCUCUCCUCUUCUGCUUUGUGUCCCGCUCAGCUGGAGGCUCUUGACCUCCUGACUCCAAAUCAGACGGUAGAGUUGCUGCUGUUGACUCUCCCAACUCCACCAGAGAAAGACGUUGUCAUCAGCCAAGUGUUUAACUUCCUGACGGAGUCACCUGCAGCCAGGAAGUACCCAGAGGUCCUCAGCGCUUUGGUCAGGCUCGCUGGAAAGGUAAUAGCUUUGGCUGAGAUGUGUAGGUGUUGAGCAUGCUUUAGCCUUCCUCAAAUAUUAAUCAUAAAAUAUGCAAUUUUUCAGAUCAAUCCUUCCUGCGACAUCUACAAACAAAUGUGAGUACCUUCAAAUGGUUUUCUGACACAAUAUGACUUAUGAUUCUUUCCAAACUGUUUUGUUCUUUGUAUGAAUCAGGAAAACUCUCUCACAGCAGACCAUGUUCAAGCUAAGGCUUCACUGCAAUGCAUUAAUGGCUAAAGCUGAACCAUUGCUAUUGCUAUUACUAAAUUCACCCUGAGAAAAACAGAAAGAGAAAGAAAUUAGAUUACACUAUAAAUCACGGCAUUAAUAUAGCUUAUUAACUGGAUUAAUACAGGAUAACGUAGAAAAAUUAAUUACAUCACAGGCAGUCAUUUUUAAUGCAGAUUUAAUUUUAGCUUUUAAUAGUGAACAUCACAAAAACAGAGGAAAAAAAACUGCAGCCAACUUUACAAGGUGACCCAAUUAGUUAGCACCUUGCAACUUACCUCAUAACUUUAUAAGACGUUUGUAAUUUAAACAGGUGAAAACAAACACCAAAGUUAAAAAAAAACAAAAACAGCCAAUUAUGCAUUUUUGGGGCACAUUUUAUAAACAUUUCUUUGUGUUGUAGGCAGACAGCUGAAGGUCUGAUUGGCUCUGUUGGUAGCUCUCUAUAUACUCUUUAUUUACAUAUGUUUUUUGUUUUGUGUUCUUGUGUAUUCCAGCUUCACACAGCUCUAUGCAGCCAUACCAUCUCUGCCUCCAGAAAUGGAACCAGUCACCUGGGCCACUAUAGAAGCCCUGAUAAACAUUGCACCUGUCGGUACGUUUCACUGCCUCACAAACACAAAGUCAAAACAACUGGGUACACAACGUAAUGGCUUAAGCUAGUCCAUAUAACUAGAUCUACACCUGUGCUUUUGCUGAUUGAAUAUUAUUUAUUUUUUGGAUUUGGACAGAGUGCGUGCCGGCGAACUUCAGGGUGAGAUUUUUUUUUUCUAUUCAAUUUAAUUUGAAUUUAAAUCCCAGCAAAUCAUAACAACGGUUGUCUUUUUCUGCUCAUCUCAUAUCUUAAUUUGAAUGCUUUUAAGCUGUGAUUGUCACAACGUGGUGAAUAAUAUUUCAAUCAUUGUUUUAAUUUGUUAAUCCCGUCAUUUACAGUGCCUGGUAAUCCCGCUCAAUGGUAAGACCUUUUUUCGACUGUUGCCAGCAUAAACACUUUUCUUAAUACAUUCUGUUUGUAUGAUUUCUUUCUGAAAAAAAAAUCUUUUCUGUUUUUUGACAGAAACUCACAGCUGUGCAGGAGUCAACAGGUAACCCUUCGUAUAGGAUUUACAUAGUAAAUAAUGCUAUUGCAGUUGUUGUUAUUCUGACAUGUAUUUCCUGUCUUGUGUGACCCACAGCUCUGAUCUGCUGUCUUACUUGGACACCUUUAAUCAAGUUUCCUGCAACUUCCCCUUGGAGGAAUAUGCCUGUGCACAGGUAAUGAUUUACUCUAACAGAGCCGGUGAGGACUCAUUACUGUUUAUUGCAGAGAAUAACUACAUCUCCUCUGUCUCUUUCACACAUCCAGCUGGACAACUUCACAGCCAAUCACCUGGCGUCUCUUCUGAUGUGUAAUCUUCCUGGGAACAGCGCCCACUCCAAAACUCUGUGGAAAAUCCUGCUCACGAAAGUCUCUGACGUUUUAAACCCAGCCCUGGACAUCCUGGCUAACAUGGUUAAUGACUUUAAUAAGCUUUAACAAACAAAUAAGAAUCAUUCAAACACCGAGACGAAUUGUGACUAUGGGAAAAGUUAAUCUGCCUUUAAAAUAACUGAAUGAUCUCUUGUUUAGCCGAUGCCUGUGAUUCCAUCAGCGUCACAGGUUUUGGAUGUGAUCGGAGAGAUCAGAGUGUUGCUGCUGACAGAUGAGCAGCUGCAGAACAGCGAAGUUAUCAACUUGUGGUUCUCAGACCGCCUGAGGAGCUUCUUGCCGUAUGCAUCAGGAAUGUUUUUGCGCUGUCUGAGCAGCAGAAACCUCACCUGUCAGUCAUACCAGGAAAUGUGAGUAUUUGUCAGAAUUGCUGCUGAACCAGCCCAACACUCAUUUUCAUUUCCUGAUUCAUAAAAGCUAUAUCAUAGGGCAUGGCAGAGAGAAUUAAUCUGCGAACGUUCACAGUUUUACUUACUGUGAAAUCCCAGUUAAGUGUUAGUUUGCUAUUUUUUCACAUUUAAGAUGAGUAAUUACAUAAGAAACCAGUGGGAAAUGUAAGGAAGCGACAACAAUGAUUCAUUAUCAGAUCAGAAUAAAUUUAUAUAGUGGUAUAGUCUCCAUCUUUCUAACUCUGUGGACAGAUUUCACCGCACCAAAACAUUCAUUGUACAUUACUAUAGCAAUCACUGUUUAAAUAACAUUCAUCUGGCAUGCUUUAGACACAUAACAGACCGAUCGACGAUCAACCGUUUGUCCCAUUAAAAGCAGUCACAAUAAUGGAAUAAUGUCACAGUUGAGACCUUGAAGAUUAUGUGAAUCAUUGAUUGAAGACGAGGCUGAAAAGACUCUAAAUGGGAUAUAUUACAAUUACUAUAUAGACAAUAUCUAAAAUUCCAGAUAAAAAUAUAAUGCACAGUCAAGGAGUGUUUGUAAAGCUACAUUUCAAUGACCUAAAAAGCCAGUUAGAUGUGGCCAAAACCCAUCGGAAAAGAUGUGGUUAAUAAAAUACCCAUGCAGGUAUGGACAUGAAGGAAAGCUGAUGGGAGUGAGAUGAAAACAGUCCAGAAAAUCACAAACAAAUCAGUAAAGCUGUCACAUGGCAUGAAAGAAAACCAACCUUCGCAGUAACAACAAGAACCAGAAGACAAGUAGGACAGGAAGUGUAGAAGGCACGCAGACGAGACACGGGCUAGGAGACACGGGCUAGGAGACACUCAGGCGAACAGAGAAAUAAUAAAAUCAAGAGUUGAAAUACAACAAUAUAGUAAAAACUGAAAUAUAUUAAACAGAAAGCCAAAAAACUCAAGCACAAAAAUUAAAAACUUCAACAGCACCAAAGCAGCAACAAAAUCCAAACAGCAUCAAAAUACAGCAUAAAAAAUGAACAAGUAAAUGAAUAACUUCCAAGAAUCAAAAGCAACACUAAACACAGGAGCACAGACAUAGAGCGCAGCUCAAGUUUACACAACACUCACACACACAGACAACGACCACAGAUGAGAUAAAAGUUAAGCUUUUUUGGCAAAAACCCCACAAAUUUACGCAACAACAAAAAACAAACAAACAACAAAACCUCAUCAUGACUAUGAAGCACGGUGGAGGGAGCAUCAUGGAUUACGGCUCACUCAGGCUCUCCAGUCAUGAAUGGGACAAUGAAUUCAACAGUGAAACUAUCAGGGCCUGAAGCUGAGAGGCUGAGUAAGUCUAAGCACAAAAAAUAAUCUCUAGAAACUGUUAAAAAAAAAAAUCCCAGCCUGCGCCGCUCGUGGUUACUCUGUGUUCAGCUCACUGUAACUGUUGGUUAAGUCAAAAAUCCUCCAAAGGGUUCUCUGUUAUUUCCAUGCAGUACAACUAUAAAUUUGUUUUUUCAAUUACAAAUUGUUAUUGGUUAGUUAGUUCUCUUCUUUUUUUCUUUUUUUUUUUGCCCAUGAUUUCAUUUUCAGACUGCAGACGUUUAUCGGCCAGUUUAACCAGAUGACCUCAAACCAGCAGCAGUUGGUCUUGCAGGAUUUCAUACUGCAGUUCCUGACGCAGCCACGCUCAGGUACGCACAUGCUUCGUAUUUCCAUUCA